GCUGGGCCCUGGUGGUUCACGCCUGUAAUCCUAGCUACUCAGGAAGAGGCUGAGAUCUGAGGAUCGCGGUUCAAAGCCAGCCCGGUCAGGAAAGUCCAUGAGGCGCUUAUCUC